GCCGGAGUGGCGAAAUUGGUAGACGCAGGGGAUUCAAAAUCCCCCGGGCUAAUCCCCCGUGUCGGUUCGAGUCCGACCUCCGGUACCA
rnacentral:tRNA from 1 species